rnacentral:rRNA from 1 species
AUUGAACGCUGGCGGAAUGCUUUACACAUGCAAGUCGAACGGCAGCACGGACUUCGGUCUGGUGGCGAGUGGCGAACGGGUGAGUAAUGUAUCGGAACGUGCCCAGUCGUGGGGGAUAACGUAGUGAAAAUUACGCUAAUACCGCAUACGAUCUAUGGAUGAAAGCGGGGGAUCGCAAGACCUCGCGCGAUUGGAGCGGCCGAUAGCAGAUUAGGUAGUUGGUGGGGUAAAGGCCGACCAAGCCAACGAUCUGUAGCUGGUCUGAGAGGACGACCAGCCACACUGGAACUGAGACACGGUCCAGACUCCUACGGGAGGCAGCAUUGGGGAAUUUUGGACAAUGGGCGAAAGCCUGAUCCAGCCAUUCCGCGUGCAGGAUGAAGGCCCUCGGGUUGUAAACUGCUUUUGUACAGAACGAAAAGGUUUCUACUAAUACUAGGAGCUCACGACGGUACUGUAAGAAUAAGCACCGGCUAACUACGUGCCAGCCGCCGCGGUAA